rnacentral:lncRNA from 1 species
CUUUUUUACAUGCUCAAAUACAGUUUGAAAACAUAUGUACAACGGAGAUUCUCUUACUCAAACAACUGCUUACAAGUAAACAUAUCACUUUUCUUCCUUUUGAUUAUUUUACUUUAUUUAUCUUAUUCUUUCUCACCAACUCUUUUUUUUUUGUUUUGUUUUCUUCUUUUUUUGGUGGAGCACUUCUGAAUUUUAACUCUGAAUCUUGUAACACAGUUCAUCUUUAAUUCUGGCUAUAAAGAGAGGCAUGUAAAUGCUGAACGCUUUUAAAUAUAAUACGUAGUAUCUCAGAACAAGAAUCCAAGGACAACUAGCAAUAGCAUGACAGAGCAAUAAGGCUGGGUCUCAACUUCCUAACAAACACUACUAGCAAUUUCAUGGACCAGAUAAACACAAUAUUAUAGUCGACUGUGUUUACUCAGUCAUUGACUCCAUAUGAAGUACUGCUAUUUUGGCAUUGGCUUUGCUAAGAACAAAGAUAUUAUGGAAAACCUGACUACAAAAAGAAUCAUCUGACCAAGUUUCAUCAUCAUCAAAAUGGG